rnacentral:rRNA from 1 species
UACGAAGGGGGCUAGCGUUGCUCGGAAUUACUGGGCGUAAAGCGCACGUAGGCGGAUCUUUAAGUCAGGGGUGAAAUCCCAAGGCUCAACCUUGGAACUGCCUUUGAUACUGGGGAUCUCGAGUCCGGAAGAGGUGAGUGGAACUGCGAGUGUAGAGGUGAAAUUCGUAGAUAUUCGCAAGAACACCAGUGGCGAAGGCGGCUCACUGGUCCGGUACUGACGCUGAGGUGCGAAAGCGUGGGGAGCAAACAGG